rnacentral:rRNA from 1 species
UACGUAGGGUGCGAGCGUUGUCCGGAAUUACUGGGCGUAAAGAGCUCGUAGGUGGUUUGUCGCGUUGUCCGUGAAAACUCACAACUCAAUUGUGGGCGUGCGGGCGAUACGGGCAGACUAGAGUUCGGCAGGGAGGACUGGAAUUCCUGGUGUAGCGGUGGAAUGCGCAGAUAUCAGGAGGAACACCGGUGGCGAAGGCGGGUCUCUGGGCAGUAACUGACGCUGAGGAGCGAAAGCGUGGGGAGCGAACAGG